AUGAUUUUCUGUGGACAACUUGCAAACACUCGGAAAUGCAAGACUAUCUUUACUGACGAAUUUCAUGGAAGGUGACGAAGGUGCUAUAGUGAUGGCACAUGGGAAGAACAAGGAACCCUUUAGUUACGUCCGGGACGAACACUGUACUUUGCAGCUGCUAAUCCGAACCAGAUGCAACUACAAUGACCCCCCUGAGGCUUGGACACAUAGUGGAAAGGGCAUGAAGGCCAUGAUCAACUAGGAAACUUGACUGGCUAAAGCAGCUAGAUCUGGAAGUUUGCGAGGAUUGUGUCUAUGUAAAGCAAGGAAAGUUAGCUUCUCAAAACUUCAAGCAUAAGCCGAACGGUUUGGAGCUUGUUCACACACUACCGAUGUGUGGGGACCAGCUAAAGUAAGUUCCGUUGUGAUCCCUUUAUGUGUCCAUUCAUUGAUGAGGCUAGUAGAAAGCUAAUGGGUAUAUUUCUGGAACCAAAAAAUCAGAUGUAUUUGAUGUGUUGCAAGAAAUGGAGAGCUAACUACUGAGAACUAGACAUGUCUAAAAGUUGAAGUGCUUGAGGUCAGACAAUGGUGAGAGUAUGCCAUUGAUGAGUUCGAAAGGUAAAUGGCGCUAUGAAGGGAAUCAAGAGACAGAAGAUGUUCCUAGGAAUCCACACAGAAUGGGGGUUGCCCGACGCAGAACAGAACUAAUCACAGAGCGUUCACGGUAUAUGAGGAUCAUCUGGUUUGUGGCAAACAUUUUGGCAUAUGCCUGUGAGCACGCUGUCAUACUUAAUCAACCGCUGAACCUCCGUUGUUUUGAACUGUGGAUGCCCCAAGAGCUUGGACCGGAAUGAGGUAAACUUAUCUCCCCUAAGAAUAUUUGGUUGUGUCUCAUAUGUUCAUAUUGAGGCAUGAAAAACAGGUCCAAACUAACACUUGAUUCAAAAUCCAAGAGUGCAUCCUCAUUGGUUAGGUAAAUGACUUUGGCUAUCGUUUUUGGGACAUCGAAACCCGCAAAGUCUAAGGAGUAGAGAUUGUGGUGUUCAAUGAGAAAUGCCAUUUACAAGGACACUGAUGAAUGAGCGGUACAGAACACAAAAGCAAGGAGUUGCAAAACUUGAGGCAGAUUUCAAAAACCAUGUAAUUGAGCCUAGAAAUCAAAAUAUCCAUAAACUCCAGUUCCUCCCCCUGAUCCUGUUUGAGAGAUCGACCAGAACAACUCAAAUACAGACACCCAGCUCGUUACAUAUCAUCCUAUAGUACUUGCUACUUACACAGCAAGGGUGACCAGAAUAUUUAUGAGGAAGCCUUGAAGGCCGGGCAAAGGUGAAUUGGAGCAAGCCAUGGAUUAUGAAUGGCUCCCUCACACCUAUCAAACUGGGAUUUGGUUGAUUGCCUCAGGGUAAGAAGACACCUGCAUACCAAGUGGGUUUUAUAAGAUUGAGAAAGAGCAUGAUGGUUCGAAGAGGUACAAGGAUAAAUUGGAUUGCAAAAGGGUUCAACAAAAGGCAGGUGUAGUUUUGACUGAAAUCUCUCUCCUGUUGUGAAGUUAUCAACCAUUUCGGACAUGCUUUGAGUCUUGUGCAGUGAAGACUUGCAUCCUAGCAGUUAGAUGUAAAAACGGCAUUUCUUCAGGGGAAUCUAGAUGAAAGACAUCUAUAUGAGACACCAGAGGGUUUGAAGAAAAUGGCAGGAGAAUAUGGUGGUGGCAAGCUUAGAGAGCUGUAUGUUUUGAAACAUAAGCAACCCAGACAGUGUACAUCAAUUUUGCUGGGUUCAUAUGACAAUGGUUACCAAGAUGCCAUGCGACCAUUGUUGCUAUUUCAAGAAGUUUCAAACAUCAUAUAUUAUUCCCUAUUAUAUUGGAUGACAUGCUUAUUGCAGGAUCAAGCAUGAUGGAGAUUAACAACUGAAGGAGAGUCUAUCCAGAGAUCUCAUGAAUGACUUGGGUCCGGCGAAGAUGAUCUUUGGGUAUGGGCGAUCACUAGAGCCGACCCAAGAAGAAAUUUACACUAUCACCAGGCCGACUAUAUCGACAAAGUGCUAAAGAGAUUUAGCAUGGAUUAAAGCAAAACCAGUCACAUCUCCCCUGGGAAGUUAUUUUAGACUUUCAAAUAAUCAAUCAACUACAAACACACAACCGGAAGAGAAGAGUACAUGUCAAAGGUCCUAUAUACGCGCAGCUGUUGGCAAGCCUUAUAUAUGCUUAUGGUCUGUAACGAGGCAUAUAUUGCUCAAGCAGUUGAAUGGAUAAGCCGAUCAUGAGUAAUCCUGGAAAGGAGCACUGGAAACUGUGAAGUGGGGUUUUUGAGAUCUUAAGGUACCAGGAUGCAACGUUGUGUUAUAGAGGCUCGAAGAUUCGUCUACAAGGGUAUGUCGAUUCUGACGCUGGAGAUGUCGAUGGCAGAAAGACACUACUGUAUAUGUUGUCACAUUUGGCAGCGCAGCGGUCAGUUGGGUUUUCGAGAUUGCAAAGUAUUGUGCUCUUCUACCACUAAGCGGAGUAUGUGGCUGCACCGAA
rnacentral:lncRNA from 1 species